AGUUGCAUUUGGUUAACCAGUCUUGAAGCAGACGAUCCUCCUUCUGAUGUAUCCUUGGAAGAUCAAUGUAGCCUAACACUACGUCACAAUGCUGACAUCGUGCACCUCACUUCAUCUCCUCAUAUGGGCAUUUUAUCAUCUCACACCAUCACAGGAAGAAAAAGAGAUUGGCUACUGGCUCUUUUAGAGUCAUGAUGUUUUCCUACAGAAGCUGGUUGUCUGUUCUAUAAGGUUCCUUUGGCACAAGCCCUCAGCCACCAUUCUAAUCAUCCCCAUAAAGGAACAGAUGCAGACAUGGGGCAAGACAAGAGCACGAGCAACCAGAAGCAUGGGAGGGAAGGUGAUGACAGCAGCGGGACACUCACAACUCCACAGCUCCCAUUCUGUACCAAUCAGGAAGGAACUGGGGCCUCUGGUCCAGAAAGAUUUCCUUCCCUUAAGUGUGUUAUCAUGGAGAAAGCAAAGUUGACUCAAAUAUGCUCCCUACACAAGAGUGAUGGGGCAGGAUUUUACACAAAGUGUCUGGAAGACAAGGGAGGAGCCAUCAUAAAUAUGACCCAUACAUUUGCCACAUACUGUUGCUUUCAUUAGUGCCUGGCUUGGAUGCUGCGGUGAGAGUGGUGAGCAAAACCACAUAUAAUCCUUGACCUUCUACAGCCUGUGGUCAGAGUAGUACGGAAGGCAUUAUGGAGAUCUCAAAACCAGUUUCUUCUUUCCUUUACUCACCAUUGCUCCAGUCUGGCCUUCACCAUCAUGACUCAAUGAAUCAAUGCCAUUGGCUUCUAACUGGCCUCUGUGUCUUCAGCUUCCUGCAUGUCUGGAGUGAUCCAGCAAAUCCCCACUGGAUCUUUGCAGCUCAGACCAGCUACCACAGCUUUCUAAACCUCACCCACAGGCUGUGUUGCAUCGCCUGUCUGCUCCCACGAUACGCGCUCACGUCUCUAUUGGCGUGCUGCCACCACCCUGUUGGAAGAUUCGCCAUGAACGUAUUCCUGUACGGGCUGAACUGCGAAGUUCCUCUCAGGCAAAGAUCAUGUUCUGUUUAUUUCUGUACCUCCAGCAGGGAGCAAAGGGUCUGGCAUAUUGCAAGUAUCCUAAGAAGGCUAGCUGAAUGAAGGCUCAAACCAAUCUCACCAUUUUGAAACUGUGUAUUAUAGCGAUAGAGAUUUCUGGAUUGCCAAUAAAUACCUGGUGCAGAAUGUGACUCCACAAGUUUAACCGGGCUGGCUAAAUCACUGUU